UCAGCGCUGUCAGAAAGAAGUGCAUUUUGUGCUCUGGUUUAAUAUUGACGCAACAGUUAGUGCGUGUAUGUUAUUUUCUAAUGCAAGAUGGAGAAAAAAAAUCAGUGAAAUCUAUAUGACUGUGGGAUAGAAUUUCAUGUAGAUGUGAAGUGUCUAGGGGGGGAAGGAAGUUAUAGAAAGAAUUACAGUCAUGUAACCCGUGAAUGCCAGAGUGAAGUCAAACCACUGAGUAAUUUGCCAAGAUGGAAACCACUGAUGUGAGAAAGAAUUUUAUCUUGACAACAACAGGAAAUUACUUCAGUGUCCCAUUGUCUGAGCCCUCUUUAAAUGGCUUGGUCGAGGACCCUAGUCUCAAUAACUUCCUCGAUUCGGGAAGUUGUCAGCUCCUUGGGGCUCAGCUGAUGCCAGAUGAAGGACG